rnacentral:rRNA from 1 species
UACGUAGGGUGCGAGCGUUAAUCGGAAUUACUGGGCGUAAAGCGUGCGCAGGCGGUUUUGUAAGCCAGAUGUGAAAUCCCCGGGCUUAACCUGGGAAUGGCAUUUGGGACUGCAAGGCUCGAGUGCGGCAGAGGAGACUGGAAUUCCUGGUGUAGCAGUGAAAUGCGUAGAUAUCUGGAGGAACACCGGUGGCGAAGGCGGCAUCCUGGACCAAUAUUGACGCUGAGGAGCGAGAGCCAGGGGAGCAAACGGG